rnacentral:ncRNA from 1 species
GGCGACCGUCGUCCGGCAGGUAAAUGAAUACUUAGGGAAACGGGUGAAAAUCCCGUGCGGUACCGCCGCUGUGAGCGGGGAGUGCUCGUCCUGAUCAGGCCACUGAUAUUUUCUGAUAUCGGGAAGGCGGACGGGCGCUGUGAUCCGUGAGCCAGAAGACCUGUUUGCAUAAGGGAGAUGCUU